ensembl:snoRNA SNORA22 small nucleolar RNA, H/ACA box 22
CUGCACAGUGAACACCCAGGUGUGCUUUGUAGCUCCCUUGGUUUUUAGUCUGUGCUAAAUUAAGUUCUGGUCUUUACCUCUGCAUUAGAAGAAAAUUACUUCUUUUUAAUGUAUUCAGUUGACCAGUACAAAU